rnacentral:rRNA from 1 species
UACGGAGGGGGCUAGCGUUGUUCGGAAUUACUGGGCGUAAAGCGCACGUAGGCGGCUUUGCAAGUUAGAGGUGAAAGCCCGGGGCUCAACUCCGGAAUUGCCUUUAAGACUGCAUCGCUAGAAUUGUGGAGAGGUAAGUGGAAUUCCGAGUGUAGAGGUGAAAUUCGUAGAUAUUCGGAAGAACACCAGUGGCGAAGGCGGCUUACUGGACACAUAUUGACGCUGAGGUGCGAAAGCGUGGGGAGCAAACAGG